rnacentral:rRNA from 1 species
UACAGAGGUCCCAAGCGUUGUUCGGAUUCAUUGGGCGUAAAGGGUGCGUAGGCGGCGCGGUAAGUCGGGUGUGAAAUCUCGGGGCUUAACUCCGAAAACUGCAUUCGAUACUGCCGUGCUUGAGGACUGGAGAGGAGACUGGAAUUUACGGUGUAGCGGUGAAAUGCGUAGAUAUCGUAAGGAAGACCAGUGGCGAAGGCGGGUCUCUGGACAGUUCCUGACGCUGAGGCACGAAGGUCAGGGGAGCAAACGGG